UGGCGUAGUAGUCACUGCGCUCGCCUUGGACGCGGGAGAACCGGGUUCGAUUCCCGG
rnacentral:tRNA from 1 species